rnacentral:misc_RNA from 1 species
UUUCCGUAGGUGAACCUGCGGAAGGAUCAUUCAUAAUAAAGUGUUUUAUGGCACUUUUUAAAAAUCCAUAUCCACCUUGUGUUCAAUGUUAGAUCUCGUCAAUCUUGGCCCGAUUUUUAUACAACAACUCAUUCUUUAACUAAUUUGUUUGAAAAAUAUUAUGAAUACUUAAUUCAAAAUACAACUUUCAACAACGGAUCUCUUGGCUCUC